UACGUAGGGGGCAAGCGUUGUCCGGAUUUAUUGGGCGUAAAGAGCUCGUAGGCGGUCUGUCGCGUCUGCUGUGAAAUCCCGAGGCUCAACCUCGGGCUUGCAGUGGGUACGGGCAGGCUAGAGUGCGGUAGGGGAGAAUGGAACUCCUGGUGUAGCGGUGGAAUGCGCAGAUAUCAGGAAGAACACCGAUGGCGAAGGCAGUUCUCUGGGCCGUAACUGACGCUGAGGAGCGAAAGCGUGGGGAGCAAACAGG
rnacentral:rRNA from 1 species